rnacentral:rRNA from 1 species
CAGCAGCCGCGGUAAUACGUAGGGAGCGAGCGUUAUCCGGAUUCAUUGGGCGUAAAGCGCGCGUAGGCGGCUCGGGAAGCGGAACCUCUAACCUUGGGGCUCAACCUCAAGCCGGGUUCCGAACUCCCGGGCUCGAGUCAGGUAGGGGCAGGCGGAAUUCCCGGUGUAGCGGUGAAAUGCGCAGAUAUCGGGAGGAACACCGAUGGCGAAGGCAGCCUGCUGGGCCUAAAGACUGACGCUGAGGUGCGAAAGCGUGGGGAGCGAACAGGAUUAGAUACCCUGGUAGUCCACGCCGUAAACGAUGGGCGCUAGGUGUGGGGGAGCGUAUCCCCCGUGCCGCAGCUAACGCAUUAAGCGCCCCGCCUGGGGAGUACGGCCGCAAGGCUAAAACUCAAAGGAAUUGACGGGGGCCCGCACAAGCAGCGGAGCAUGUGGCUUAAUUCGAAGCAACGCGAAGAACCUUACCAGGGCUUGACAUGCGCAUGAAGCGGCGGAGACGCCGUGGCCGAGAGGAGUGCGCGCAGGUGGUGCAUGGCC